UUAAAUAGCUUAAGUUGAAAGUAUGACAUUGAAGAUGUUAGGAUGAUUUUUUAAUCUUUAAAUA
rnacentral:tRNA from 1 species